rnacentral:rRNA from 1 species
UGGGGAAUUUUGGACAAUGGGCGCAAGCCUGAUCCAGCCAUGCCGCGUGCGGGAAGAAGGCCUUCGGGUUGUAAACCGCUUUUGUCAGGGAAGAAAUCUUCUGAGUUAAUACCUCGGGAGGAUGACGGUACCUGAAGAAUAAGCACCGGCUAACUACGUGCCAGCAGCCGCGGUAAUACGUAGGGUGCAAGCGUUAAUCGGAAUUACUGGGCGUAAAGCGUGCGCAGGCGGUUUUGUAAGACAGAGGUGAAAUCCCCGGGCUCAACCUGGGAACUGCCUUUGUGACUACAAGGCUUGAGUGCGGCAGAGGGGGAUGGAAUUCCGCGUGUAGCAGUGAAAUGCGUAGAUAUGCGGAGGAACACCGAUGGCGAAGGCAAUCCCCUGGGCCUGCACUGACGCUCAUGCACGAAAGCGUGGGGAGCAAACAGAUUAGAUACCCUGGUAGUCCACGCCCUAAACGAUGUCAACUGGUUGUUGGGAAGGUUCCUUCUCAGUAACGUAGCUAACGCGUGAAGUUGACCGCCUGGGGAGUACGGCCGCAAGGUUGAAACUCAAAUGAAUUGACGGGGU